rfam:Myotis lucifugus cont2.42506, whole genome shotgun sequence.
UUUUUAGUAUAAGUAUGUUUCAUGCAAUAUUUUGGACAUACUUAUACUAAAA